rnacentral:ribozyme from 1 species
CAGUUCCAUGCUGGUGCGUGCACACAUAGGUACACCCAGAGUUCACUGUUCGGUCACCACAUAAAAGGAGGGGGGAAAACAGUACUAGGAUCCUCUUAAUUAGUUAGCGGUCUUGUAUGAUGCUUUAACCAGAGGAGG